UCCACUGUGAAACCAGAGUGAUGGUGCCCCUCACUGCUCCCUUGGUUGCGCUGCUCCUUGCAGGGCUGUGGCUGUGCCCUGGCCAAUAGGAGUUCUUCAGAGUGCUGUUGGAAGCAUCUGAGCUUCCACUCGUCCAUGAAGGAGGCAGGGCUGUAAAACAACGUGGAAGUCUAGCACCAACAGCCACUUGGCCAUCUUUGGCAUUAGGCCUGAACUGGUGGGGGCCAGGGCAGGAUUACAUCACAAAAUAGUGUAUCUGGUGGGGGGUUGUUUUUCUAGCUGCCUCCUUGCUACUGCCCCAAAAGCUUCUGGUGAAGGGCAGAUUUGGUCUUGCCCCUUGUAUCUGCCUGUGCACCAGGCACUCCACACUCCUUCCUCUGCUUCAACCUCGGGAGAAGCUCCGUGCCGGCUGUGAGAUCUCAGCCUGGAUUAAGUGGCAAAGACAAAUCCUCAGCUUUGGGAAGAGCACACUUGACCUUUGCCUCUGUGGAGUUACGCUCUCCCUCGGGAGGAAGUAUUGGCUCAGCCGCUGAACAAAGCGCUGGCUGUCAUGAGCAGGACCUGCCCGCCUCGGGGAGGGAGGGCCUGGGGUGGGGGUCAGAUUUAUGCUCCGGAGGGGAGGAAGAGACAGCAGACCCAGUGACCUGGAAGCUUAGAGGUGAACAGCUCAAUUUACUGAGAAAUGCAAAGCUGCGUUGCUCUCCUCCGUUGGUAAAAAUGCACCGUCUGGGAUGGUCUGGGCAGACGGGCCUGCUGGCACGUCCAGAUGCAAGAGGGGAAUUUCCUUGGAAUUCUGGGGAGCUCUGCAACCUCAGCACCCAGCUUUUGAAACAGAUACACAAGGACGAAGAAUCUGGUCGAGUGCAAAAGCGCAACAGAAAUGUCUUUGCAUCUCCAUCAUUGCAGGUUGCAGGCUCCUUGGGAAGUGCUGAAGUGGUACCGGACAUCCGGAUGGGAGACUUUCCACUGAGGAGAGCACCCCAUGCUCCCUGCGUAUCCUCAAGCUGUUGCUCCUGCUUCCCUCUUCUCUUCCAGUCUGUGACAAGCUGGUGUUUGAUGGCUGCUGCAGAAAAAGCCUCCUGGUGUUAAGACCCCAGUGGAAAGGGGAAGAGAAGGCUGUGGAGAUUCAUGCUGUUGAGGCCCUUUCUACAGUCUCCUCAACAGUGCCCUAACCAUGUGGAGAGUGGUCCCUGUUCAUGGGUCACAGCCCUUAAAAAUGGCAAGAGGUUCUGCUUCCUUCUUUCCUUUCCUCCCUUAGUGAGGACAGCUGACUAAUGAGCACUCCAGUUGAAGCCCCUCAUCAGGCUGAUGUCCUGACCAGGCUUGCUCCUGCAGGGAAAGCGUGAUGGAAUGGUUUUCCUGGUCAGGGCAGCCUCUGUGCUCCGGGGGCACAGUCAGGCUUUCCUGGUUUCCAGGCUCCUCUCCCUGCCAUGUGUGUUUCCAGCCGCAGGUAUAGAAGAAGCAGAGAGGCCAGAGCAGCCUCCUGGGGAGAGGGGAGAUUGCAGUUGGAUCAUUGCAAACAGGACUCCAUUAAUUAUAAAUGGACAGGUUCCCCCGAGCUGCUGUAGCUUUGCAUAAGGCACAUUGUAGCUGAGAGGGGUUUUUUUAAUUUCUCCUGGAGAGUUGCUGAAGGGGCUUGGAAUAGUGUGAUGGAUAAAUAAGGCACCAGCUGUGCUCUGCAGCCAGCCCCACCAGAGCCUUUCUGCAGCAGUAGCCCACAGCAACCUCUGCUCGGCCUCACUCUGCACUCCCAUCCCUCGGGCUCUGCCAUCUGGUCCUGCUCUCCAGGUUUCUUCUUCCUAGCGGCAUGUUUUUGUCUCCUGUUGUAACCUCCUUUCCAGCAUGUGGUCUCAGCCCUCGGUAAGGCACAGACAUGUGUCUGGACAAGAACACGACUAAGGAGUCCAGUUGUGGGACACCCACUUGGCUGGUCCGUGCCUCCCUCCUCCGUCUCGGAGAUGGUCCUGGUUAAAUGAAAGCAGAAGGAACAAUAAAACCAGCAAACGUUGGCUUUCGACUAGGAGC
rnacentral:lncRNA from 1 species